rnacentral:tRNA from 1 species
GCCCUCGUAGUUCAAUGGAUAGAACGGAGGUUUCCUAAACCUUAAAUGCAGGUUCGAUUCCUGCCGAGGGCA